UCAUGAUUUCUAUUUUAACAAAGGUGGUCAUGUUGAUGUAAUCUAAUCAGAUCUAGUCUAAUGAAAUGGUGUUUAGCCUUUAUUUAAAUAACGUUUGGUUUGCUCCUUCAUCAGGCUGAAGAGGAAGUAACAUACAGCAAUGUUACGCACAUGAGAAAAACUUCAGUUAAGGUUGAAGCAAAAGAUGAGGAUGUAACAUAUAGCAGGUUGGCCCAGCACCAGCAGAACCUGUAACCCCAUGUUAACCCUACAUCUUAUCUGCCUGUCUAUCACUGGACUCUUUUCUUAGAUGAUAGUGUUGCAAUGUGUUGCCAUCUAUUCUUUGGUUUUGCAACAACUUCUUACUUCUUUUUAAUUUUGAGGGUUUACACCUUCUCCUUUUUUUAUUCUCCUCUGAAUAGCUGCAAAAUGUUUCAAACAAGUGCUGAACUGGUCCUGGUUUCCCAAAAGCAUCUUAAAGCUAAGACGUUUGCAAUAUCCAUCUUACGACCCUGCUUAAGCUGAAGAAGUGUUUCCCAAAAGCUUCGACAAAAGCAUUCACCUCUUAGCAAUGAUCCUAUCGACUCGUAGGAGGUUAAAGAGCAUCUUAAGAAGCUUCAGAACCUGCAGGAGGAACAAAAAUAACAUGUUUCAUUGAAGUUUUUAUUGUUUUUGUUCAUUAUAGUCUGUACUAUAUUGAACAGUGAUGUUGUUUAAGUGACGUUUGAUGUAAAAUGAAGGAUAAUGUUAAAAAUAAAAAAUAAGAAUAUGAAAUGAA